UACGAAGGGGGCUAGCGUUGCUCGGAAUUACUGGGCGUAAAGGGCGCGUAGGCGGAUAGUUAAGUCAGAGGUAAAAGCCCAAGGCUCAACCUUGGAACUGCCUUUGAUACUGGCUAUCUUGAGUACGGGAGAGGUGUGUGGAACUCCGAGUGUAGAGGUGAAAUUCGUAGAUAUUCGGAAGAACACCAGUGGCGAAGGCGACACACUGGCCCGUUACUGACGCUGAGGCGCGAAAGCGUGGGGAGCAAACAGG
rnacentral:rRNA from 1 species